rnacentral:rRNA from 1 species
GACGGAAGGUGCAAGCGUUGCUCGGAAUCACUGGGCGUAAAGGGUGCGUAGGCGGCCGUGCAAGUCUGGCGUGAAAGCCCCGGGCUCAGCCCGGGAAGUGCGCUCGAAACUGCGCGGCUCGAGUGCCGGAGGGGAGAGUGGAAUUCCUGGUGUAGCGGUGAAAUGCGCAGAUAUCAGGAGGAACACCAAUGCGAAGGCAGCUCGCUGGGACGUAACUGACGCUGAGACGCGAAAGCGUGGGGAGCAAACAGG